rnacentral:rRNA from 1 species
UACGUAGGUGGCAAGCGUUAUCCGGAUUUACUGGGUGUAAAGGGCGUGUAGGCGGGACUGCAAGUCAGAUGUGAAAACUAUGGGCUCAACUCAUAGCCUGCAUUUGAAACUGGUUGACUUGAGUAUAUUUGAGGUAGGCGGAAUGCGUGGUGUAGCGGUGAAAUGCGUAGAUAUUCGGAGGAACACCAGUGGCGAAGGCGGCCUGCUGGGCUUUUACUGACGCUGAUGCUCGAAAGCAUGGGUAGCAA